GAUGAACGCUAGCGGCAGGCCUAACACAUGCAAGUCGAGGGGUAGAAGCUUUCGGGCUUUGAGACCGGCGCACGGGUGCGUAACGCGUAUGCAAUCUGCCUUGUACUGAGGGAUAGCCCAGAGAAAUUUGGAUUAAUACCUCAUAGUAUUUUUUGUUGGCAUCAACAGAUUAUUAAAGAAAUUCGGUACAAGAUGAGCAUGCGUCCCAUUAGCUAGUUGGUAUGGUAACGGCAUACCAAGGCUACGAUGGGUAGGGGUCCUGAGAGGGAGAUCCCCCACACUGGUACUGAGACACGGACCAGACUCCUACGGGAGGCAGCAGUGAGGAAUAUUGGUCAAUGGUCGCAAGACUGAACCAGCCAUGCCGCGUGUAGGAUGAAGCAUCUAUGGUGUGUAAACUACUUUUGUACGGGAAGAAACACUCCCUCGUGAGGGAGCUUGACGGUACCGUAAGAAUAAGGAUCGGCUAACUCCGUGCCAGCAGCCGCGGUAAUACGGAGGAUCCAAGCGUUAUCCGGAAUCAUUGGGUUUAAAGGGUCCGUAGGCGGUUUUAUAAGUCAGUGGUGAAAUCCGGCAGCUCAACUGUCGAACUGCCAUUGAUACUGUAGGACUUGAAUCAUUGUGAAGUAACUAGAAUAUGUAGUGUAGCGGUGAAAUGCUUAGAUAUUACAUGGAAUACCAAUUGCGAAGGCAGGUUACUAACAAUGUAUUGACGCUGAUGGACGAAAGCGUGGGUAGCGAACAGGAUUAGAUACCCUGGUAGUCCACGCUGUAAACGAUGGAUACUAGCUGUUUGACAGUAAUGUUGAGUGGCUAAGCGAAAGUGAUAAGUAUCCCACCUGGGGAGUACGAACGCAAGUUUGAAACUCAAAGGAAUUGACGGGGGCCCGCACAAGCGGUGGAGCAUGUGGUUUAAUUCGAUGAUACGCGAGGAACCUUACCAGGGCUUAAAUGUAGUAUGGCAGGUUUGGAAACAGACUUUUCUUCGGACAUAUUACAAGGUGCUGCAUGGUUGUCGUCAGCUCGUGCCGUGAGGUGUCAGGUUAAGUCCUAUAACGAGCGCAACCCCUGUUGUUAGUUGCCAGCGAGUAGUGUCGGGAACUCUAACAAGACUGCCGGUGCAAACCGUGAGGAAGGUGGGGAUGACGUCAAAUCAUCACGGCCCUUACGUCCUGGGCUACACACGUGCUACAAUGGCAGGUACAGAGAGCAGCCACUUCGCAAGGAGGAGCGAAUCUAUAAAGCCUGUCUCAGUUCGGAUUGUAGUCUGCAACUCGACUACAUGAAGCUGGAAUCGCUAGUAAUCGUAGAUCAGCAUGCUACGGUGAAUACGUUCCCGGGUCU
rnacentral:rRNA from 2 species